rnacentral:rRNA from 1 species
GAUGAACGCUGGCGGCGUGCUUAACACAUGCAAGUCGAACGAUGAAGCCCAGCUUGUUGGGUGGAUUAGUGGCGAACGGGUGAGUAACACGCGAGUAACCAGCCCUUCACUCUGGGAUAAGCGCUGGAAACGGCGUCUAAUUCCGGAUACGAGCUUUCUCCGCAUGGUGAGUUGCUGGAAAGAAUUUCGGUCAAGGAUGGACUGGCGGCGUAUCAGGUAGUUGGUGAGGUAACGGUUCACCAAGCCGAAGACGGGUAGCCGGCCUGGGAGGGUGACCGGCCUCCAUAGGACUGAGAGACGGCCCAGAAUCCUACGGGAGGCAGUGGUCGGGAAUCUUGCACAAUGGGCGCCAGCCAGAUGUAGAAGCGCCGGGAGAGUGACGAAGUGUUUCGGGUAGUGAACAACUUUGAGCAGGGAAGUGGCGAAAGUGACGGUACCUACAGAAAAAGCAACGGCUAACUACGUG